rnacentral:lncRNA from 1 species
CCUAAUUCAAAUUAACAUUCAUAAUUCGCCAUCAUUGACGGGAAGACCCGAAUUAAUCCCCUUAAUUAUGCCACGAAGAAGCAUAAACACAUUUUAAGAAUAACAUCUGCUCUGUGAGAGUUUGUGGAGACAGACAGAUCCACCACCCACCAUCCAGCUGGUUCUCAAAAGGCAAUUCUAAUGCUACCUGCGGGUCGUGAAGAAAAGAGGAAGAUUUUUCAAUUUAAUUAGCCCCCAAAAAAUAGCAUGGAAAAUACCCCCAAAGGGCCCUAAAUAUACCCUUACCCACUGGGCAUAUUUGUCAAUAAACACUGAAAUUAGGGAUUUUUUCAGGACCCAAACACAAUUGCUAUAGUCGGUGACCCAGAGCCUAUCAAAUUAUAAACUCAUUACGUGUUGCAGUUGGAAUUACAGCUUUAUUCUGUUAGAAUAAAUGAUUAAUUUACACCGACUUGGCUACGCCGCUUUUUUGGUCCAAGCGAAAAUAAAAUAAUUGGAUCUGGAUUUGUAAUUUGCCGCUUUUUAUUUGCAGGUAAUGAAAAUGAAAUAACAAUUUGGAUAUUAGUUAAUUUUGAUAUCACAAGCUAGACAAACACCAUUCUCAAAGCAACUCAAGCAUCAAACACAGGAGGAGGAGGAGGAGGAAGACAAACGAAAUAAAAUCAAUGAAUUAUUUACUCAUAAUAAGGAUAAUAAUCGAAAUCCACAAAUACAAAACCCAUAGUAAUAAACCAAGUGCAUUAUAUAUGUAGUCUAUGCACCACAAAAACCCAUAUGACACUGAAAAUCCUAUAGAUCCAUAAUCACCAGCUACUAAAAUGACAAACGCUACUAAUAAAAAACCAAUCAGAAACCCAACCGCUCUCUACACAGCCCCAACCAUAGUUGCAGUAGUAAGCGAAGACUCAAACCCUGAGCGCAGAUCCGAAGACGAUAGCGGCGAAGGCGGCGGCGAAAGCAGAGAUGAACGACGGGGAGAUGGAGGCGGAUGCGGAGGUUGGGCUAGGAGCUGGAGAUUCGGCGGCCUGAGCGGCGCCGAUGACAGAAAGGACGGUGACGAAGACCGCCAUGAGAGCCACGAGUGAAGUUGCCUUUGAGACUGCCAUUGUUGAUUGGUGUGAGAGUUUCUUGUGCUUCGGAAUCUAGGGUUUUGGGAAUACGCCGAGAGACUGAAGCACAAAUAUCAGAGGUGGAAUGAAGUAGGCUCAAGGAACGUAUUUAUAGCGGGGAUUUUGGGCUGGGGUCGGGCAGCCUGGGCAGCUGCCCGGUUCUACAGGCUGGCUACUUGUGAUUGGUUCAGCGCGACAGCUCACACCGCUGGUCGGGGUAAAUUUUUCUCUGUGGGCCCCACUAGAAACCAGUGUCUACGCGGAGUCGUUUCACGCACGAUUUUACCUUCGUCUGAAACGACGCCGUGUGUUCACAUUCCUUAACGAAAGGGCUUUUCGCUUCGCGGCCGAGUCGACUCAGUGGAGAAUAUAUUCGCAAGAAUCUUCUAGCUUGCGACGCGCGGAUCAGAUUCUGUCCGUACGGUGUCAUUUGAGUCACAUCACAUGAUGAACGGUCCAGAUGAACCCGUGGGAACACGUGGGAAUGGAAGAGGUUAUAACGGUUUCGCGGUAAAAAAAUUUGGUUUUUUAUUUAUUUUUAAACUUAAAAAAUGGCCCACAAUGCGCAAUCAGGGAGAUUACAGCGCAGAAAACACAGAGAGGAUGCGUGACUUUCUGGUGAGCGACUCGAUGGCCAACGGGCGAUCGACACGUGGGGAUUUCGAAAAAGACAGGUUGUUAAAUUGCGAGGAAAAAGAUACGACAGGUGUAGGGUGGGAUUUGGUUCUGUUGCUUCUGAUAUUUUUAUUUCGCGGGAUUUCCAGAACAUUCGCUUGGCAUUUUGCGUUUUGGAGUUGAGGGGCGCACAUGCGUGCGGGUGAAGUUACCGUAAUGCCCUUGAGAGUGAUUGGGUGCGUGUCAAUUUUAUAUUCACGUUCAUUAUGAGGAGCUAUGAGUAUCUACUUAAGAAAACCAAAAGGAAUGUGGCGCUGAAUCUGAAUGGGUUUGAAGUCCAUUAAUGCGUUCCAGGGCUUUUCAACAUUUUGUUCCAUAUUCCAUGCCGUGCCCACUGGCUAAUGGGUUUGAUGUGGGCCCAACAUAUUCUUUUCUCGUCAAAUCCAAAUAAAGAGGCCGGGUGUUACGGGAGCUCCUAUAAUCCAGGUCGGUUUAUGUCGUCGAAGUUUCAAUUCAGCUGUCUAAUAAUAAUACUCUUAAAGUGUUGUUGAACGAACUCACAAAUUAACUGUGUUCACUUUACUAAUAAACUAUUUAUUGAAUUAUCAAUUUGCUCUAGUAUAAAAUGACCAAAAAUGAUAUAUUGAAUUGUGAAAUAAAUGUAAUGUUAAUAAAUACACCAUACACUAAAUAAAUAAAUAAAAAUUACACCUUUCUCACUAUAUUCAACCAAAUUGAACUUUUGUUUUCUUUUUCUUUUUCUUUUUCUUUUUCUUUUUUGGGUUUGUUUGUUAACCUCAAUAAUAAUAAAUGAAUAAUUAGGGAGGGACCAACCAUAAAGCCAAGCAGGAUUAACAAAUAUGUAUAGAGAUGGGUUAGUAUUAUGAGACAACCAUCACAAUGUCUGUCUGAUUCAUAUAGAACUGCAUAAUUAAUGACAAUGAUGAUAUUAGUGUGUAUCAGGGGUAUUUUUAAAGUUUUUAUAAUUGUGUAUUAGUGUGUAUCAGGGGUAUUUUUGGUAGUUAAAUAUGGUGUACUUAGUUAAUUUUACAUUUUGAUUUAAAUAUUAAAGUAUGUUUAGAUCAUAGGGUGUACUUAGUUAAUUUCAGAGUUCGUUUAGCAAUGCUCUACUUUUAUUGAUCAGACAACUAUGAAGACUCCCACACUAUAGCCUCAUACAAGUGGUACGCAGCAUAAAUGGGCAUGUAAACCAUAGAGGACCAAGAUAUAGAACCGUUGACGCACGUAAGUUCCACAAUACUGUUAAUAUAUGUGCGGGCGACUCCGAGUAACUGUUAACCUAGAGUCAGAGAAAUGAAAUUCAAAUAUAAAAUAUUUUAUUCUAAUGUCGAUUUCUGAAUACAAAAAUGUGAAUUUGAUGCAGUGCUAAAUAAGGUGUGCUACUUCUCUGUACAUCUGAUACUGAUACUGUUGUGGACGGGGGUUUUGGCCAAAGAGCUAUCAAGUGAACCUCAACUAAUAAUAAUAUUACAGCUGAGGUUGAAUUCUAUGAUGACAAAUAACACACACCACAAACAGGGAAUUUUGCAUGCUCUUCGGCUAGAGAAGUUUGAUUUGACUGAGGAUUUAUGUGUUAGAAGCCCAAAAACUUUGGUGCUAAAUGCAGAAGGGGUUCCAUAGCACUUGGAGCAAAUUUUCUUCCAAAAAGAAAGCAGAUUGAAGAGUUCCGGUCGUUGUAAGUGCAGCGAUGACCCUCGAGCAUUCUCUUGAAGAAUUCCUCAGUGAUAUCAGCUCUUCCAAAGGUAGCUGGGUGAGGUCCACCCCUUGACCAAUCCACCCAAGUGAUGCUUCUGUUUGCUAAGGAAUUCCCUGCUUGAAUGGUUAGCAUGGUGGGGAAAUAGUGCUCAUCAACAUAACAUGCGGGUCUACAGAACUUUUCAAAUUUUUGGUAAAAUGUCGUAUCUUCGACAAUGCUGAUGGCAAGCUUCCGGUUAACUUCAAACCAUUGGGAGCCCUUGCGCCACUGGGUUAUAUUCACUUCAGGUGCCAUGUUAUUAUUAUAGCGUCCUCUCCCGAAUGGCCCAGGGUCGUCAAAUGCACCGAUGAAGCUGUACUUGGAUUUCAUUAAGUAGUGGUAAAUGACACUGAAGUUAUAGAGCGGAAUGCAAGAUUCGGAAACAAGAAUGAACCAUUCAUUGGAUAUGUCAAGCAAUGCAUUAGCAAGGAGCCUUCUCUCAGCAUCACACAUACUCAUUCUUCCCCACUCAGAAACCUGCACAGCAGAAAACCAAAACUCUUAGCAGAUAUGUAAGAGAUAUUGCAUAAUAUCUAUCCAGAUUUGAACAGAAAAAAUUUCUACAGCAGCAACCAAGAUGACCUCAAAGAAAUUAGACAAAACAAGUUAUCCUCAAGCUACAAAGCAACAACAAUAUAAUUUUCCCUGGAUACUCUGUUUUUGAAGCUACUAACUGCGGAUCAUGAGUUUCUCUUUUGUUCAAAACACCCAGGUUAAAAAGUAAAACAAGCAGAGAUUUUAUGGAAUAUGUUCAUGAAUCUGAAAUAAAUACUUGGUAUGUUUCUAUACAAGCUUGAACUCUAUCACAAAGCAUCAUUCACAUAAAUAAUUAAUUUCUUCCUCAUAACCUGAAGGCAGAUAUCAUGACAGUAUGGAAAUGUCAUGAUUGUGGCACGAGAACAAGUCAGGAAUCAAGAACGUAGAUUAAAAAAAAAACAUCAGGACUAUGUGAAGAGGUCCAGGGUGCCACCCCAGUAGUCAAUGCCUUUACAUCAGCUGUUCAUCAUGUACGAAAACAUUUAUGCAUCUGCUUUUUUCAUGUUUAUAAACACAGGUGUUGUAAUAGUCUCAAGAUCCAAAAGUUAGCAGCAGAUGGAGUGGACCUAGUGGAGUUUCACAUGCAGGAUUGUCAAAUUCAUGGAAUAAAGAGUCAAAUCCAUUCACUUAGUUGAGUUUGCACUUGACACACGAGUCCAUGGAACAAAUAGGGCGUCCUGCCCUCCCCAAGAGAUGGUCUAUAUAUCCUACAUCACUGUAAUUCUCAAUACAUGAACAUGAUAAAACUGACCUGUUCCUUUCUACCAACACACAGAAAGGUAGUUUUAACCCUUUCUUUGAUGAUAAGCAAAAAUUACCAACUCUUGGAAAGAUGAAUUUCGGAUUUCAUCAUGUCUUAAGCUUCACAUACAUAACCUAACAUUUUUAAAUGCAAGAGACCAGGGUGUGUGCUCACCACAGAGCAAAUAUAGGAAAUCAAGAUGUGCAGAAAGUAAAAACCAGAUAAACCAGUGAUAGAGAACUAGAUAUCUACGAAUUUACCUCAAAAUAAAAAAUAAAAAAAUAAUUUUGUACUUGCUGAAGGAUGCUUAGUAGAACAUGCAAUCUCACAAAGGAUAGAAUAUGGACCUGGCUAGGAAUGUGUCUCCCAUAAAAAACGGACGAAGUGUGAAAAUGAGGUUGAAAUGACGGCAGUGAAUGAACGUAGAUUGAAUAACGUCCUUCAUGUCCCUUCAGAAACCUCUCCCAAAGGGGUGCCAGCGGCAACGGCCCCCUGGUCAAGAACAUAAAUGCAAUCUUUGGAACUCUCUCAAAAGGAUACUUCUUUAUUCUAGGCAUAAGAGAAGCCCUCCACAAUAAUUCCUUAUCAGUCAUAGUGUGUUGAAGAUUUGAUGGCGGCUUAAUCCACCGGUCCAAACCACUCGGUUCCUCAUAGCAUGGCUGGAAAGAGGACGUGACCGUUGUCAUCACCCCAUUAAUUCCAAAAUGACGAAUCGUCAAUAUGCUAAUGACUGAGAAAGUAAUACAGAAAAGCACAAACAGCACAAACAACUGAAGUAGCCUUAUCGGCAAUGCCUUGGUUUGGUUUGUCCUGCCAGUAACUCCGGGGUCCUUGCCUUCCUCUAAUGGCACAACCCUUGAUUGCAUGGUUUGCAUCUUGAUUAAAACACUGCACCAAAAUCAAUUUCUAGCUCUUCUGAUUACUACAGAGUACCUCCAAGUCUCAAAAUUUUGGACACCUAUUGACUUCUCUCAAACAAGAAAACCCACAGUCCAAAAUUGCAUCUUGCAUCACAAACGGUGAAGUGAACACGAAUUUAAUCACAUUGGAAUCUGAAUCACUCAGUUUUCUUCAAAACUGCAACCCCACCAAAUAAAAACACACUGCACAGAUCUGAAACUAAUACUACAGUACUGAACACAUACUGCGUAAAAAAUUUUAACUUCAGCACAUGGGUUCUUAAUAAACUGAGCUUAUAUCAACGAUCUAAGCUAAGAUCAUACAAAUAUGGAUCGAACUUCUCUUUCACCAGAGAAAAAAGUAUGACAUACCAUGUGACUUUUGAGGUUGAAAGCUAAAUUGAUGAAGACGAAUGAAGGAUUUAGAUCCUUGUAUUUGACUGCUUGAAUUGCGCCCAAGAAUACGGGAAGUGGUCAAUUGGAUGAAGAACAAGAGAACAGAAGGAGGAGGUCACGCAGAGGAGACUUUGGCGGCAGAAACAAAAAGGUGCAGUGACCAAUAAUAAUGAGAGAGUUUGAAAAACUUGGGGAGAAGUCUUGACCGAGUGUGCGCGUUGUGUGUGAGAUGAGAGAAUUGUGAGGAAGACGACGACUCUGUGAUGAUCUGUAGAAUCUCAAGUUUUAAGAAUGUCUCUCACACGGUGCGGUGCGAGUGAGGAGGGAGAGGGGAUCCAGCUUGUCGGCUAACUUGGGAGUGUGAUAUAUAAGCACCCAUCCAGUUUCAUAGCUUGGUGGAAAAACGAACUUGCCUCAUCUGUUGCGUGUGUGUAUUUUUGGGUAAAUUCAUUAGUGACUAAAAUGAUAAAAAUCGACCUUCGGAUGCGAUUACUAUGUUUUGAUUAUUUUUUUUCUUUUUUAGUAGAAGCGAUAGUUUCUAAACUGAAUGAAAGUGGAAUUUCUCACACACACACAUCUAUAAUGUCAUGGAGAUUCAAACUUGAGACCUCUAUUAUGCAAGUUAAAAUUUUUCCACGCAAUAGACCCUGUUGGCGAUACACUUUGAUUUUAAGAUGGGCAGAUAACAAUAGAAACUUUAUUUUAUUUAUUAUUAAUUGCAAGCACCCUAUUGGAACACGUUUCACCCUAUUGGAGCAUAAUUAGCAUCAAAGCAAGAAAAUCAACUAUUUUCCCCCCUCAUAGCCGCAUAAAAGAACAGAUAAAAGGAUAGAGUAUAGAAGCCUAAGUACAGAUGUAAAUGUAAUUAUUGGUUAGAGAUUGGGUUUAGUUUAAACAAGUUAAUGAGGCUUUGAUUGGUUGUUGAAGCUUAAUGUCUUAUGGUGGUGGAGAACCCAAUUGUAUCAAACAACGUAAUAAACACGACGUGGUGUAGUUGGGCAGACCGCAAGUCUUGGCCUCUAGUUAGGUGGGAUUUCAGUUCUUUCACCAAACCAAACAAGCCAUGAGGAAAGCUAAAGAAAGUCUAAAGGUAGGAGCCAUAUGUAGGAUCAAAUCUGCCUAGUAACCAGUUGUAUAUCCCCUUCUGUCUACAACACUUUACAUUACGUAAUCGGUUGCAUAUUUCUAUUCUAUCUGUUUAAAACAAUCAUCAUCUAUAUAUAUAAAGCAAAAGGUAGAGAAUGGUGAAACAUUCAAAAUACCAGAAAAUAUCCUUGGUUAAUGCAAACAUUAAGAACUAAACUUAUUAAUUAAAUGAGGAUAAUAUGGUAAAUUUACACUUUUUAUAAAAAAUUAAAAUUAAAUAAAAAAUAAUGGAUCUUAUUUUUAUGGAACACUUUUUAAUUCUAAAAAAAUUUUAAAUUUUUUUUAAAAAAAUGCCUCUCGCAAGCGCGUGCAGAGAAGCUAGUGUUACAUAAUGAGUGUUGUAGACACGAGAAUACAAAACCGGAGAUAGCUAAGAUUCUCUCCAUAUGUUGAGUCUACACCUACCUACAACCGCAUCUAAGAUUCCCCCAGCAAUAAGGACACAGGGACAGCUGAGGAUCCAAAAUGGUUCAUAUACAUGGGGUCCCGAUCUCGAUCUAAACUUCGUUAAAAAUAAAGUUGAUUGGUUGAUAGAAUCAACCACACUCAAAAAAACAAGCAGUUUUAACUCGAGAGAGGAGUAGAAUCAACCACACUAAAAAAAAUAAGCAGUUUUAACUCGAGAGAGGAGUAGAAUCAUAAAGCCUUCGCUGCUGUGAAUGGCGAUCCUGCAAAACAAUUCAUGAUGUAACUGUGAUUUGCAAAGAAAACCAUCCAUGCAUUCAUUUUGAACGUGUGAUAUAAUAACACGUCAUAUCGACAAUGAGAUCCUUGAAAACUGAGCAACGUCACAACAUUAGGUCUGUAAUUUGCCAGUAUAUCUACUGUCUAUGAAAACGCCAAAGUUGAAGACUAAAACUAAGAUACUACAGAGCGUUUUCUGCUCACAGUCACAGCACAUGAAACAGCUAAGAUGUAGAUGUUUCUAUCUUAUUCACAAAGGAACAGUUAGCUCCACAUCCCAAAUUCUAUAUACCAUGGCAUAUUUCUUGUAGCAUAUACCACUCUACUUCACCACAAAACUGGCACGGAGGUUGGAAACCAUAACUGGGCACUCUCCCUUCUCAUCAUAUUCAACAAAGUCCCCUCCCGACAAGUCAACAUGGUCAAAUUUUGUCCCUUCCACCUACAAGAAUGAACACUAGUUUAAGUUGAAAUAAAGAUGCAUCCAGCAGAGUCGAUUGCAGUACAUAAAAAUGAAAACUAGAACUUCAAAAAUCGAAACUAUUCUCCUAUUUUCAAAAAUUCAACAAUUCAAAUGCAAAAAUUCAAUUCACUGGGGCCUCUAGUAAUUCGUUUUUCACUCCUUGUUUCUUUUUCUAAAUUUCAUUAUCAAUCUAAUUUUCACUUUUAUUCUCCUUGGGGUAGGGAAUGGCGAUAGGCGGGCAUGACACUCCUGGCCAAGCAGAACAGUAAAAAUGAGUUGACAUUUGGUGACACCAUCUCUGGUCCAAUCCACAUGGUAGGCUUCCAUAGUAAAUCUAGUGUACAAGACAAUUAUACUGUUUGUGGGAUGCCCUUAACGUCAGAAAAAUAAAAUAUCACUAUUUUCUGCAGUUCCCACCUCUUGAAUAUGAUAUGCUCAUGAGAUGUACUAACCUUAAGAUCUUUAUGCUAAAGGACAGAGACCUGAGCUUUCUCACCCCAAAAAGAAAGGAUCAGAACUCAAAAGGACAAAAAUACCAAAAUAAGCUUUGAAAGGCGCUACCACAUUAUGGAAUAGGAUAUGCAAUCCUUAAUGCUUAAUGUACUAUGUACUAUAAGUACAAACAAGGAGAGUUAAGAAGAGAAGAAUAAAAGAAUUUAUACAUAUGCGCUGAAGUUCAUAGGAGUUAGUGAGAUUUAGUGCUUAGGAAUGUUCGCACGAUUACUAUUUAUAAGACCAUUCAGCUCAAAGGUCCCAGCAAAGUCAUUUUCCAUCCAUAAGUACAAUAAGAAAGUUUUAUACAAUAUGCUACAUAAUUGGAAGGUGGUGUGUGAAGAAGAGAAACUUACAGAUUCAACCUUCCACCCACUAGCAAAUACAUAGUCCACAGGCUCAUAACCCCUGCACUCAAACAUCAUCAAGGGGGAAAAUUUCCUUUCUUCACACAUUUGCUGGGUCAGUGGUUUACCAUGACCUGGCAUCAUUGUCAGAGUUCCAUCCCUUCCACAAAACUUGCACUACAAGGGGAGAUGCAAAUCACCACACAUAUAUAGCAAACUUAACCAGAAAAUAUUCGUUCAAAGAUAAAACAUAAAGGGAACAACCCCCAUAUCCAUGAAUUGAAGAUAUGCAAUAGUAAUAACUUAUGUCAACGUAGUUGACUCAUAUGUCAUCAAAUAGAAACUGCACAGAGAAAUGUGUUGGAACCCACACAUGUAAACUUUAACCAAGAGAAGAGAAAUGAAAUCCCGAUAAAAUCUCAAAGUUGUCGCUACAAUUAGGCACCCAAACAAACAAAGCAUUUGCUCAACCAAACAAGCAUACUACAGAAAACACAAACUACCAUAACUCUUCUGUUCCUUUCCUUCUAUUUCCUCAGAAACUAAAUAUACUUCAAUAAGCUCUUAAAUUCCAAAGCCCAUUGAGCAAUUAGUAGAGAGAGAGAGAGAGAGAGAGAGAGAGAGAGAGAGAGAUAAUGGUUACCUUCUGAACGAGAUUAACGGUUGCCUUGCCCGAUGGAAGAGGAACAGUCUCGUUCAAGCUCACACAAGUUUCCCUCUGGCUCAGCUCUCCACACCUCUCACAUUUCAACUGCAAGAUUACAAAAAGAAUAGAAUCAUGUUAAUAAUGACUAUAUCAAGCUCGGGAGACUAAGCGACGAACAUCGACGUCAAUUUUAAGCUACAACCCCUAGAAAUCUGAACACGAACACCAACUAUAAUGACAAAAUCGACUGCAUUUUUGGAGCAAAAAACUUGACGAAAGGAAAUGAAGGUGACCUUGAAGAGAUAGGAAAAGUUGGGGUCGUUGCAGCCUUCCUGGGGCUGAAGGUUCGUCAGGUUCUCGAGGUCCGCAGCGAUCUGAAGUAAAAAUUUCACCAUUUUCGAUUUGGCGUCAAUCUCGAGCUGCUCACCGCGUCUUUGUCUCACUGUGUGUAGCUAGUGGCAGGAUGAGUAAUAAAUAAGGGGGGCUUGGGCGACGAAUAGACGCUAUCAGUUAAACGGCGUCGUUGUGCGGAAUUUAAUUUUUUUCCGACACGGGGAUUUUUAGCUCAAGUUAACUACAAUUUACCCUAAAAUCGAUGGCCUAUGUUCGAAUCAUCUUUCUUAAUAUCGUUUGUAUUUUAAAAAAUAUUAAAUUAUAUGAAUCAUAUUGUGAUACCUGUUACAAAGAGAAGUUUAAUAUUAUGAAAGUCUUUCAAGUAGCAAAUGUGAAUUAGGUCAGUUAGUCAAAGUAGUGUGUCCAUCUUUUUUCACAUUAGUUUUUAGAUUUAUGAUAAUAGUACUUCAUUUGAAAUUUUGAAGGCCAUUGAAGUGAAGGAACCAAAGCAAUAUUGUAGGAAUUUAACAAUCAUUUUGCCAUUCUAAUUUGUGAGGACACGUCAUAAUGUUAGUCCUCAUACCAUUUUCCAUUUUACACACCGCAGUUCAAAUAUUGGACCAAAAAACAAAACGAAAUUGGCAUGAUUGGAAGGUGAACCAUGCAAAGUUUGCAGAUAUGUAAUCAGAAUCAUGUGCUACAUAUUAUGGAGGCACUGUCCUUGAAGAGAUUCAACUAGUGUUGGGAUCUUAGCCCAUCUCAUAUACUGAAAGAAAGAUAAUUUCCAUUUCAUGAUUUUGGGUGUUUGUGAUUAGUUAACAACAAAUUAAUGGGGGGAAGGGGGUUGUUUGGUGGUGAAGGGAUUGGAAUAAGGGGCAUAAUGGUAAUUAUGUUGGGAGCAACUGUGACUCUUAUUAGAUGUGGGGUGCUUGUGGAGGGUAAGUUGUUCUCUAAACAGAAGAUUUUGGAAGCCGAAAGACAAUUAAACCAACUUAGAAGGCCUGCAGUUAAAACCAUUCAGGUAAGAAUUGUCCAGAACUUGAGCCCUUCACAUAAGUUUUCUGCAUUGUAUUCAUUUACUCAGUUCAUAUUAAUCUCUAUGAUUGCUUGUAGAGUGAAGAUGGUGAUAUCAUUGAUUGCAUUGACAUCUACAAGCAGCCAGCUUUUGAUCAUCCUGCUCUCAGAAACCACACCAUCCAGGUCUGCCUUCUGUUGUGCAAGUUGAAAGUAGACAAAGAUUUACUCUGCAACUUUAAUCUUUUUGCUACCAUAUAACAACUGCUUUGAGUCUUUUUUUCAGAUGGCACCAACAUAUGAUACAACCAAGGAGACAAAGACAAUGAAAAAAAUGGACAGAUGGAAGAAGAGGAAUGAAGAACAAUCUCCCAUUACCGUGAAGCAAACAUGGCACAAAAGUGGAAGCUGUCCUCAGGGAACAAUCCCGGUCCGAAGAAUCCAGAAAAAGGAGCUUCUGAGAGCUAGCUUGGUUAAGGACUAUGGAAGAAAGAAGCACAGUUCUACCUUGUCUCGUCAUGUUUCACAGUUAAGUGACAACAAAACUGUGUACCUUCAACGAGCAAACCACUCGGUACAUCAAUUCCCCACACACACAUUUUUAAUUCAUUGGAAAAUUAACUACAACUAUACACCUAAUGAAGAGGGUUUUUUUUUCUCUGUGUGUAAUUUGUGAUGGCAUCAGAAGGCAAUAUUGUUUACAGAAGGGUACAGAUAUAAUGGAGCCAAAGGAGACAUCAAAGUUUAUAACCCAUCUGUCGAGCUUGAUGAUGAAUAUAGUACUUCUCAAGUUUGUCUCAUAAAUGGUGCUUAUUAUGACUUUGAGAGUGUUGAAUCUGGAUGGGCGGUAUAUAUAUAUUAACAUAAUAAACCCUUUCACUUUCAUCUUGAAGCUACUUACUUCUUCUGUCAUAUUAUGUUCAUGGCAUAACUUUUUAGUCUGAAAAAUUACUCUAAUCCCUCUUCAGGUAAAUCCCAGUGUAUACGGGGACAGACAGACUCGAUUUUUCGUGUAUUGGACUGUAAGCAGCCAUGAAUAAAGACUUAACAUUCAUGCGAGUAAUUCCACUAGAUUUGAUGUGAUUUCUGAUGUUUCUGCAGGUUGAUGGCUCACAGAAAACUGGUUGCUUUGAUCUCACUUGUCCUGGAUUUGUUCAGACUAGCCAUGAAAUUGCUCUUGGUGCAGCAAUCCAUCCAAUCUCUGUUCCUCAUGGGCUUCCAUAUCAAAUAAUAGUCUACAUCUACAAGGUCAGGUCAACAGUUUAACAACAUAACGCGCUUGAUGAACAGUUUAGCAACAUAACAUGUCUAACAUUAUUCGUAAUACUAAAUAAGUUUUCCUAUCGUAUCUUCAAUUGAAUUUCUUUUUUGUUUUGCCUCCAAAUUUAGGAUCCAGUAACAAGCAACUGGUGGGUGCAAUAUGGGGAGAGAAUUAACAUCGGUUACUGGCCGCCGGAGCUGUUUGUUUUAUUGAGCUACCAUGCAACAAGUGUUGAAUGGGGAGGUGAAGUUUAUAGCUCAAGAGUGGGAACUACGCCUCACACAAGAACAGAUAUGGGCAGUGGACACUUUGCUGAGUCAUCAGUUUGGGGGACUUCAGGCGUCAUAAAAAGAAUUCGAGUACAUGAGAAUUCACCUGGGCUGAAAUUCCCUGAUAUAGUUAAUACUUUGAUGGAUGAGUUCAACUGUUAUGAUGUCAAGUAUCUUUCGGAUUAUGUUGAAGAUCCUGAGUUCUAUUAUGGAGGGCCUGGUAGAAAUUAUAUGUGCCCUUAAGCUUAUGUUAACUUUGCUAGGACUUGUUUAAGACCCCAUUAGAAUGGGUAAUUAUGUUGUUUUAAACUUUCAUUAGUUAUUUUUUCAAUAUCAAACUCUGUAAACCCCAUCUUAUUUCUCAAAAUGACAUAGUUUUAGACAUAGACACGAUACAAGCACUAAAAACACAAGUGGAUAAUCCUAUUUCGUCCCCAAAAGGAAAAGCCUUAGAGAGUGGAAAUCUCCUAAUAAAUUGGUAAAAAUUAGGCAUAUUAAUUUUAAUUUCUAUCCAGAGGUUGCGCAAUAUUUGAAUUCAGAUUUAGAGGGAAGUGAAGUUUUUGGUGUAUAGGCAUCGAUUGUGUGUUACACUAACAUAACAUGUAUAACUUUGCACAAACGACUUGGAAUUUCAUUUUUUAUAUAUAUAAUAAUCGAGAAAAAUAUUUGUCUCAUUUCUUAAAAUGAGUCAUUCCUCCUUACAUGCAAAUUACAAUUUGACAUGAUCUACACGUGUUAGGUUGACUCGUUUAAUUCUACUAUUGACACGUAGCAUUAUCUCCUAAUAACAUAGAAAUUUAACAAUCAUACUGUAGAAAUUUAACAAUCAGUUCAUACUGUAGAAACCAAGCCAUACUGUAGAAAUUUAACGAUCAGUUCUUCUUUGGCUAAAGAUUUAUGUAGCUGGGUUUACCAAGGUUAAGGACACACUUGUCCAAAUAUUCAACAGCUACCAUUUUGAAUUUAACACUUGGCAAUUCAAAUAUAGAAUAAAAAUGUGAAAUUUGCAUGAUUUGGAAGGUGAAUCAUGCAAAUUUUGCAGUAUAUGUAGUUUGCAGAAGAUAUGUAUGCUGCACAUUGUGGGUGGCAUUGUCCUUAAAUAACCUAAGCUUAACUUAGAUUCUGAAAGCAAGAUAAUCAGUUUCCAUUUUAUGAUUUUGGGUAUUUAAAUUACCUGAGAUUUAGUAUAUAAUCAAACAAAUGGGGAAAGGGUUGUGUAGUGGUGAAGUGAUUAGAUUAAGGGGGAUGAAGAUGAUGGUAAUUAUGUUGGGAGUGACAGUGACUCUAAUUAGAUUUGGGGUGCUUGUAGAGGGUGAUUUGUUCUCUAAACAAAAGAUUUUGGAAGUUGAAAGAAAAUUAACCCAACUUAGAAGACCUGCAGUUAAAACCAUUCAGGUUUGAAUUGUCCAGAAUGAGCCCUCCACACAUAAGUUUUUUUAUUAUUGUAUUCAUUCUCAGCUCAAAUGAUUGUUUGCAGAGUGAGGAUGGUGAUAUCAUUGAUUGCAUUGACAUUUACAAGCAGCCAGCUUUUGGUCAUCCUGCUCUCAGAAACCACACCAUCCAGGUCUGCCUUUCUGUUGUUCUAGCUGAAAGUAAAAAAAAGAAAAGAUUUACUCUGCAACUUCAAUCUUUUUACUACCAUAUAACAAGUGGUUUGAGUCUUUUUUUAGAUGGCACCUACAUAUGAUGCAACAAAGGAGACAAAGACAAUGGGAAAAAUGGACAGAUGGAAGAAGAGGAAUGAAGAACAAUCUCCCACUACAGUGAAGCAGACAUGGCACAAAAGUGGAAGCUGUCCUCAGGGAACAAUCCCGGUCCGAAGAAUCCGGAAAAAGGAGCUUCUGAGAGCCAGCUCGGUUAAGGACCAUGGAAGAAAGAAGCACAGUUCUACCCUGUCUCGUCAUGUUUCAGAGUUCAGUGACAACAAAACUGUGAACCUUCAACGAGCAAACCACUCGGUACACCAAUUCUCCACACACACAUUUUUUAAUUAAUUGGUAAAUUAACUACAACUAUACAUCUAAUGGAGAGGGGUUUUUUUGUUUUUUGGUUUUUGUGUUUGUGUAAUUUGUGAUGGCCUCAGAAGGCAAUAUUGUUUACAGAUGGGUAUAGAUAUAAUGGAGCCAAAGGAGACAUCAAAGUUUAUAACCCUGCUGUUGAGCUUGAUGAUGAAUAUAGUACUUCUCAAGUUUGUCUCAUAAAUGGUGCUUAUUAUGACUUUGAGAGUGUUGAAUCUGGAUGGGCGGUAUAUAUAUUAAAAUUAAUAAACCUUUUCACUUUCAUCUUGAAGCUACUUACUUCUGUUACAUUUUAAGUUCACGGCAUUACUUUUUAGUCUGAAAAAAUGCUCUGAAUCCCUUCAGGUAAAUCCCAGCGUAUACGGGGACAGACAGACUCGAUUUUUCGUAUACUGGACUGUAAGCUGGCAUGAAUCAUAAAUUAGUUUUCAUAUGAGUAAUUCCACUAGAUUUGAUAUGAUUUCUGAUGUUCCUGCAGGUUGAUGGUUCAAAGAAAACUGGUUGCUUUGAUCUCACUUGUCCUGGAUUUGUUCAGACUAGCCAUGAAAUUGCUCUUGGUGCAGCCAUCUAUCCAAUCUCUGUUCCUAAUGGGCUUCCAUAUCAAAUAAUAGUCUACAUCUACAAGGUCAGGUCAAUAAUUUAACAACAUAACGUACCUAACCGAUAGUUUAGCAACAUAACAUGUCAACAUUACUACUUGUAACACGAUAAUAGGUUUUCUUCUCGUAUCUUCGAUUGAAUUUCUUUCUGUUUUUGUCUCCAAAUAUAGGAUCCGGUAACAAGCAAUUGGUGGGUGCAAUAUGGGGAGAAAAUUAACGUCGGUUAUUGGCCGCCGGAGCUGUUUGUUGCACUGAGCUACCAUGCAACGAGUGCUGAAUGGGGAGGUGAAGUUUAUAGCUCAAGAGUGGGAACAACUCCUCACACAAAAACAGAUAUGGGCAGUGGACACUUUGCUGAUUCUGUUUGGGGGACUUCAGGCGCCAUAAGAAGAAUCCGAAUACAUGAGAAUUCACCUGGGCUGAAAUUCCCUGAUAUAGUUACUACUUUGAUGGAUGAGUUCAACUGUUAUAAUGUUAGGUAUCUGUCAGAUUAUGUUGAAGAUCCUGAGUUCUAUUAUGGAGGGCCUGGCAGAAAUUAUAUGUGCCCUUAAGCUUAGCUUAGCUUUGCUAGGACUUGUUUAAGACCCAUUAGAAUGGGUAAUUAUGUCGUUUUAAACUUUCAUUUAUUUUUCCAAUAUAAACUAUAAAAACCCAAAACUCUUAUCCUCAAAAUAACGUAGUUUUGGACAUAAACACCAAAAACACAGAUGAUUCUAUUUGUGAGAAUGUGAAGGUAAAGAGUCCCACAUUGGAAAGUUGAGAAACCUAGCAAGGGCUUAUAAGGAGUUGGGUUACUCCCCCCAUUGCCAAUUGGUUUUGGGGUAGAACCUCAACUUCCUUCAUGGUAUCAGAGCAAGGCUUCACAUGUUGAGCCCAACAGCCACACGUGCUCCCACGUCACCCAAUAUGUGUUGUCCACGUGUUAGGCUUGAAAGUUCGCCACACGUGCGGGGGCGUGUUGAGAGUGUUUGUCCCACAUUGAAAUGUUAAGGGACCUAGCCUGGGUUUAUAAGGAGUUGGGCAACUCCCCCCAUUGCCAAUUGGUUUUGGGGUGGAACCUCAACUUCCUUCAUGGUAUCAGAGCAAGGCUUCACGUGUUGGGCCCAACGGCCACACGUGCUCCCACGUCACCCAAUAUGUGUUGUCCACGUGUUAGGCUUGAAAGUUCGCCACACGUGCGGGGGCGUGUUGAGAGUGUCACGUGCUCCACGUCACCCAAAAUGUGUUGUCCACGUGUUAGGCUUGAAAAUUCGCCACACGUGCGGGGACGUGUGAGAAUGUGAAGGUAAAGAGUCCCACAUUGGAAAGUUGAGAAACCUAGCAAGGGCUUAUAAGGAGUUGGGUUACUCCCCCCAUUGCCAAUUGGUUUUGGGGUGGAACCUCAACUUCCUUCACUAUUUCAUCCCAAAAAAGAAAAGCCUUAUGGAGUGGAAAUCUCCUCAUUAAUUGGUAAAAUUUUGCGUUAGUUACUUACCAUCUUCAAUUUGACCGAAGUUCUAUCCAAAGGUUGCACAAUAUUUGAAUUUAGAUUUAGAGAGAAGUGACGUUUUUGGUGUAUUGGCGUCGAUUAUGUAUACAUUAACAAGUUCAAUUUUGCACAAAGGACUUGGAAUUUUUUUAUUUUUUUUAUAAAUAAUAAAUCAAGAAAAAUAUUUGGUUCCUUGUUAAAAAUGAGUCAUUCAUUUUCAGAAUGCAAAUUAAUUUGACAUGAGUGUAAAUUUUUUAACAUGCUUUUAAUAAGUUAUUUAUGUAUAAGUGUUAAGUUGCGAUUUGAAUGUAAGGAGAAACGACUCAGUUAGUUCUAUAAAUCAAACUAGAAGAAACACAUACACAUCCGUGUGUAAUUUGCUAAUUUGUAAUACCGGUUGCAAAGAGAAAGUAGGUAUGGUGGAAGCCUUAAAAGUCCCCCAAUACAUUGUAUAGCCGUGCGGCUCUACUUUUAAAAUUUUCUAUUUAUAAAGUAUAGCCGGCUAUACCCUAAAAACGCCGUGAAAGCAAAUUCUUUCUUUAUAUAUACUAGCCUCUCUACACGCGCUUCCGCGCAUGCGAGAGGUUUUUUUAAAAAAAAUUUUAAAUUUAUUUUAGAAUUAAAAAAGAUAAUAGAUAUUUGUGUUCCAUAAAAAUAGGAUCCAUUAUCUGAAUUUUCUUUUUUUUUUAAUUUUUUUAAUGCGAAAAAUUGUGAAUUUACCAUAUUAUCCUCAUUUAAUUAAUAAUUUCAAUUCUUAAUGUUUGCAUUAACCAAGGGUAUUUUCUGGUAUUUUGAAUGUUUCACCAUUCUCUGCCUUUUGCUUUAUAUAUAUAGAUAGAUAUAUACAUUACCGCCCAAUAGAUUUGUAAUUCAAAGCCGUGCGGCUAUACUAUUUUUUAUAAUAACAACCAUAGUAUAGCCGACCGGCUAUACCCUUUUUAUUAUAUAAAAAAAAUCCGAGUAUAAGUACCAUUUUUAAAAGAGGACCCACUGGAGCCUAGCGCCCCCUUUUGCCAUGUGUCAAAAAUAGUACAGCCGAGCGGCUAUACGCAAUUAAUUAUAAAAAAAUAAGUGUAGCCGAGCGGCUAUACUAUUUAUAAUAAAAAAGGGCCACCGCUUAACGAGCAUGGCCAAAGUAUAGCCGCGCGGCUAUACUCUAUAAAUAUAAUAUUCUGAAGGUAUAGCCGGUUGGCUAGACUCAUACUCGUUUGCCCGUAAUUUGUUUUUAAAAAGUAUAGCCGACCGGCUGGACUCGGCAUUUUCUUAAUUGUUUUUUAAAAAUAGUAUAGCCGAGCGGCUAUACCCGGGUUUUUAAUUUUAUUUUAGGGUUCAGGGUUUAGGGCGGCUAUACUCGUUUUCCCCUAAUUUUUUUAAGAAAUAGUAAAGCCGAGGGAAGGAAUCAAGCCAUAUUGUAGAAAUUUAACAAUCAUUAAUUCAUUGGCUAAAGAUUUGUGUAGCUAGGUUUAACCAAUUCUAAGGAAUUGUUUAAAUAUUCAACAGGAUACCAUCUUGAAUUUAACAUGUGACAAUUCAAAUAUUGAAUAAAAAUGUGAAAGUUGCAUGAUUGGAAGGUGAAUCAUGCAAAUUUUGCAGAUAUAUAUAGUUAUCAGAAAAUAUAUAUAGGUUUAGGAAGAUAACCCAAGCUCAUCUUAGAUUCUGAAAGGAAGAUGAACAAUCUCCAUUUUAUAAUUUUGGGUAUUUGAAUUACCUGAGAUUUAGUACAUAUCAGACAGAGUUUAGUUAACAAAAAAUGGGGAAAGGGUUGUCUGGUGGUGAAGUGAUUAGAUUAAGGGGGAUGAUGGUAAUUAUGGUGGGAGUGACAGUGACUCUAAUUAGAUGUGGGGUGCUUGUGGAGGGCAAUGUGUUCUCUAAACAGAAGAUUCUGGAAGUUGAAAGAAAAUUAACCCAACUUAGAAGGCCUGCAGUUAAAACCAUUCAGGUUUGAAUUGUCCAGAACUUGACAUAAGUUUUCUUCUCAUUGUAUUCAUUUAAUCAGCUCAUAUGAUUGCUUGUAGAGUGAGGAUGGUGAUAUCAUUGAUUGCAUUGACAUUUACAAGCAGCCAGCUUUUGACCAUCCUGCUCUCAGAAACCACACCAUCCAGGUCUCCCUUGUAUAAGUUCUAGUUGAAAGUAAACACAUUUUUCUUCUCUGUGACAUUAUAUAUUUACUGAUAAUCUAACAAAUGCUUUGAGUCUUUUUUCAGAUGGCACCAACAUAUGAUCUGACGAAGGAGACAAAGACAAUGACAAAAAUGGAUAGAUUGAAGAAAAGGAGUGAACAAUCUUCCGUGACAGCAAAGCAAACAUGGAAGAAAAGUGGAAGCUGUCCUCAAGGAACGAUCCCAGUCCGAAGAACUCGAAAAAAGGACCUGCUUAGAGCUAGCUCAGUUAAGGACUAUGGAAGAAAGAAGCACAGUACCCUGUCUCGUCAUGUUGCAGAGCCUAGUGACAACAAAUCUGUCUACCUUCUACGAGCAAACCACUCGGUACAUUAACUUCCCAUUUUCACAUUUUUAAUUGAUAAAUUAAUCACAUCUCAUGAAGAGGGGUUUUUUUUUUGUUGGUAAUUUGUGAUGUCCUCAGAAGGCAAUAUUGCUUACAGAAGGGUACAGUUAUACUGGAGCCAAAGGAGACAUAAAAGUUUGUGCCCCUUCUGUUGAGCUUGAUGAUGAAUAUACUACUUCUCAAGUUUGUCUCAUAAACGGUCCAAGUUUUGCCUUUGAGAGUGUUGAAUCUGGAUGGGCGGUAUAUUAACAUAAACCCUUUCACUUUCAUCUUGAUGCUACUUACUUCUGUUACAUUCUAUGUUCAUGGCAUAACUUUUAGUCCGAAAAAUUACUUGGAAUCCCUCUUUAGGUAAAUCCAAGCGUCUAUGGGGACAGAAAUACUCGAUUUUUCUUAUACUGGACUGUAAGUUGACGUGUUUCAUGACUUAGUUUUCAUGUGAGUAAUUCCACUAGACUUGAUGUGAUUUCUGAUGUUCCUGCAGGCUGAUGGUUCAAAGAAAACUGGUUGCUUUGAUCUUACCUGUCCUGGAUUUGUUCAGACUAGCCAUGAAAUUGCUCUUGGUGCAGCAAUUUAUCCAAUCUCUGCUCCUGAUGGGCUUCCAUAUGAGAUAAUUGUCUACAUCUUCAAGGUCAGCUCAACAGUUUAGUAACAUAACAUGUACAGUUUAGCAACAUAUAUAUCUGAUAUCUGAAAAAGACAAUGUAAUAUUAAGUGUUCUUCUCAUAUCUUCGAUUGAGUUUCUUUUUUAUUUGCUUCCAAAUUUAGGAUCCAGUAACAAGCAAUUGGUGGGUGCAAUACGGGGAGAGAAUUAACAUCGGUUAUUGGCCUCCGGAGCUGUUUUUUGCAUUGAGCUAUCAUGCAACAGGUGUUGAAUGGGGAGGUGAAGUCUAUAGCUCAAGAGUUGGAACUACUCCCCACACAAAAACAGAUAUGGGGAAUGGACGCUUUGCUAGUACUGCGGGAUUUUCAGGUGUCAUAACAAGAAUGAGAAUACAUGACAAUUCACCUGCACUGAAAAUCC